rnacentral:misc_RNA from 1 species
GUGAUCAUCGAAUUUUUGAACGCAAAUUGCACUCUCUUCGGAGAGUAUGCCUGUUUGAGGGUCAGCCUAAAAAAAAUCGACAUAGUUGCUGUUUCGCGGUGACAUUCGUCGGAAAUUGGGUCAUCUUAAACCUCUGGGUUUUAAGCGGCUUAAAAUUUUCUUUACGAUUCCACGAACGUUUCUAAGAUUUUCUUGUACGUUCGCGACAUCGAAAUCAUAUUAGGGGUGACCGCCGCGUCGGGUUCGCUCCCAUAAUGUAUCAUCUAAGGACCUCAGACAGGUAAGAGUACCCGCUGAACUU